rnacentral:rRNA from 1 species
UACGUAGGGGGCAAGCGUUGUCCGGAAUUAUUGGGCGUAAAGCGCGCGCAGGCGGUUUCUUAAGUCUGAUGUGAAAGCCCACGGCUUAACCGUGGAGGGUCAUUGGAAACUGGGGAACUUGAGUACAGAAGAGGAGAGUGGAAUUCCACGUGUAGCGGUGAAAUGCGUAGAUAUGUGGAGGAACACCAGUGGCGAAGGCGACUCUCUGGUCUGUAACUGACGCUGAGGCGCGAAAGCGUGGGGAGCGAACAGG